ACACAGGGCUUGACUCUUUAAGGCAACUUCAAUGAAAAAGGAAGUCUUGGCUGCUUGUGAGAACAAUUGCCACUCCCAGAAUCAAAAACGACUAGAACACAGACUUAAAAACCAAGUUAUUUAAUUGUGUCUUCAAAGGUAAACAAUAUUCGGGGCUGGAUCCCAAGCCCUGAGAAUGCCAGAGCUGAGGGUACAGAGUUCAGAGGGUCAGGACUCAGGGUGUUCUAAGGCAGAGCACUUCUGGAAUUCAUGCAUUCCGUUUUGCAAUUUUGCAAACUGCCAGAAACAGACCCCAAGAGUCUUUUAAGAUGGGGAAAAUUCAACUUCCACUUUUAUAGGUAAGAGUGAAGAGUACCAAUAAUGUUCCGUUUACCUCUCCUCACUUUUCUCACAUGACCGGAAGCCUGAGCUAGUGUGUCCCACACACACGGCAGCCUAAGCUGCAGUUCAGGUGUGAGCUCAGUGCCUCUGUGCACUCCCUUCCACGCUGCAGCAAGAGUGACCCAGGGCAGAGAGCUCUCAGCAGUACAGCUUUUAACAAGCACGUAAAGUAAAAAGAACCCUCUAGUGGCACAGUGAGUUAGUUUAUAAGAUUUUAAUUUACAAAUUAAAAAGCUACAUGUUUUAUUUUUUCUCCUUUUUCUCUUCUUUCUUUCCAUCACUCUUUUCCUUCUCUUUUUCUUUCUCUUUGUCAUCUUUCCUAUCCUUUUUGCUUUCUUCUUUUUCCUGCCCCUCUUUCUUCUCUGCAUCCCGGUUGGCAAUUUUGUUGUUGAUGAGGUUGUGCAGGGCAACCACAGAACGGAUCAACGAGGCCAAAUACACCACUACCAUCUGGUCGUUGGUCUUCAGGUAAAAGGCCUUGACAAACUCCUGGAGGCUGACAUCCGGCAGCAGGUUGAAGACGUCCUGUAGCUGGUAGAUGAUCUGGUGGUUGAUGGGCAGCUUGCCCGUGGCCACUUUCUCCAGGUAGCUCCUGAUAUCCAGAAGCUUGGAGUUCAGUCCCUUCAAACCAUGGACCUGGUUUGUGAUCCGCUGGGAAAGAGUGCCCACUGUAGUGUCUUUGAUGUCUCUGUAACAA
rnacentral:lncRNA from 1 species